rnacentral:rRNA from 1 species
ACGGCACAACUAUUAAAACCUAACGGAGACGUCCAAAGGUAAGUUCCGAGGGGAAUGGAAACCACUUCGGAGAGUAUAAGGGCAAAAGGCUUGCUUUAGUUAUUAAUGUAAAUUAAUAAUACUGGAAACAGGGGGCCUAGAGAUCCUCUAUGAAACUAAGCAUAGAGGUGACGGAAAAGUUACCACAGGGAUAACUGGCUUGUGGCGGCCGAGCGUCCAUAGCGACGCCGCUUUUUGAUUCUUCGAUGUCGGCUCUUCCGAGCAUGGUGGAGUAUCAGCCACCAAGUGUGUGAUUGUUCACCAACUAACAGGGAACGUGAGCUGGGUUUAGACCGUCGCGAGACAGGUUAGUUUUACCCUACUGCAUCGCGUCCGAGAGUAGGUCGGGGCAGUACGAGAGGAAGUGCCGAUCAGAACCGCUGGUGAUACUUUCGUCUGUUAAGGCGCGAAGUGUAGCUACGUUCUUCUUAUAAUAGCUGAAAGCCUCUAAGCUAGAA